CAUCACAAUGUUCUGCUAUGCAGUCAUCAAGGGCAGGCCUGGCAAAGUUCGACAGAACAACCCAGAUUUCUGUCCAGAAAAGGUGGCCUUGUCUGCGGGAUAAAUGGGGGUUGGUGAACAUCUGAACCGAAUAUAUCGGAAAGGGAAGGGAGAAAACUACAUGUUGCCUACUGAACCCAAGAGAAGGG